UACGUAGGGUGCGAGCGUUAAUCGGAAUUACUGGGCGUAAAGCGUGCGCAGGCGGUUCGUUGUGUCGGCGGUGAAAGCCCCGGGCUCAACCUGGGAAUGGCCGUUGAAACUGGCGAACUGGAGUGUGGCAGAGGGGGGUGGAAUUCCAGGUGUAGCAGUGAAAUGCGUAGAGAUCUGGAGGAACACCGAUGGCGAAGGCAGCCCCCUGGGCUGACACCUGACGCUCAUGCACGAAAGCGUGGGGAGCAAACAGG
rnacentral:rRNA from 1 species